GUGUCAGCAGCCGCGGUAAUACGAAGGGGGCUAGCGUUGUUCGGAAUCACUGGGCGUAAAGCGCACGUAGGCGGACGUUUAAGUCAGGGGUGAAAUCCCAGGGCUCAACCCUGGAACUGCCCUUGAUACUGGACGUCUCGAGUCCGGGAGAGGUGAGUGGAACUCCGAGUGUAGAGGUGAAAUUCGUAGAUAUUCGGAAGAACACCAGUGGCGAAGGCGGCUCACUGGCCCGGUACUGACGCUGAGGUGCGAAAGCGUGGGGAGCAAACAGGAUUAGAUACCCGUGUAGUCC
rnacentral:rRNA from 1 species